CGGGGGGCAGCAGUGGGGAAUCUUGCGCAAUGGGCGAAAGCCUGACGCAGCAACGCCGCGUGCGGGAUGAAGGCCUUCGGGUUGUAAACCGCUUUCAGCAGGGAAGAAAUUGACGGUACCUGCAGAAGAAGCCCCGGCCAACUACGUGCCAGCAGCCGCGGUAACACGUAGGGGGCGAGCGUUGUCCGGAUUUAUUGGGCGUAAAGAGCUCGUAGGCGGUUCGGUAAGUCGGGUGUGAAACCUCCAGGCUCAACCUGGAGACGCCACCUGAUACUGCUGUGACUAGAGUCCGGUAGGGGAGUGUGGAACUCCUGGUGUAGCGGUGAAAUGCGCAGAUAUCAGGAAGAACACCAGCGGCGAAGGCGGCACUCUGGGCCGGUACUGACGCUGAGGAGCGAAAGCGUGGGUAGCAAACAGGAUUAGAUACCCGAGU
rnacentral:rRNA from 1 species